CGUAACAAGGUCUCCGUUGGUGAACCAGCGGAGGGAUCAUUACUGAGUUUACGCUCUACAACCCUUUGUGAACAUACCUAUAACUGUUGCUUCGGCGGGUAGGGUCUCCGUGACCCUCCCGGCCUCCCGCCCCCGGGCGGGUCGGCGCCCGCCGGAGGAUAACCAAACUCUGAUUUAACGACGUUUCUUCUGAGUGGUACAAGCAAAUAAUCAAAACUUUUAACAACGGAUCUCUUGGUUCUGGCAUCGAUGAAGAACGCAGCGAAAUGCGAUAAGUAAUGUGAAUUGCAGAAUUCAGUGAAUCAUCGAAUCUUUGAACGCACAUUGCGCCCGCCAGCAUUCUGGCGGGCAUGCCUGUUCGAGCGUCAUUUCAACCCUCAAGCUCUGCUUGGUGUUGGGGCCCUACAGCUGAUGUAGGCCCUCAAAGGUAGUGGCGGACCCUCCCGGAGCCUCCUUUGCGUAGUAACUUUACGUCUCGCACUGGGAUCCGGAGGGACUCUUGCCGUAAAACCCCCAAUUUUCCAAAGGUUGACCUCGGAUCAGGUAGGAAUACCCGCUGAACUUAAGCAUAUCAA
rnacentral:rRNA from 1 species